rnacentral:rRNA from 1 species
GAUGAACGCUGGCGGCGUGCCUAAUACAUGCAAGUCGAGCGAACAGACGAUGAUCUUGCUCCGCUCACGUUAGCGGCGGACGGGUGAGUAACAGGUGGAUAACCUACCUAUAAGACUUGAAUAACUGCGGGAAACCGUAACUAAUACCGGGUAAUAUAUGUAACCGGAUUGUUCAAUAGUUUAAGACGGGUUUGCGGUGACUUAUAGGUGGAUCCGCGCCACAGUAGCGAGUUGGGCAGGUAAGGGCUUACCAAGGCAACGAUGCGUAGACGGCCUGAGAGGGUGAUCGGCCAGACUGGAACGGAGACACGGUCCAGACUGGUACGGGGCGCAGCAGUCGGGAGUCGUCAGCAAUGGGCGAAAGAGUGCCGGAGCAACGACGCGUGAGUGAUGACGGUCCUCGGGUCGUAACGCUCUUUUAUUAGGGAAGAACAAUUGUGUAAGUAAAUAUGCACGUCUUGACGGUACCUAAUCAGAAAGCCACGGCUAACUACGUG